AUUGAACGCUGGCGGCAGGCCUAACACAUGCAAGUCGAGCGAGAGGCGGACGGGUGAGUAAUGUCUGGGAAACUGCCUGAUGGAGGGGGAUAACUACUGGAAACGGUAGCUAAUACCGCAUACCAUCAGAUGUGCCCAGAUGGGCUUGGCUAGUAGGUGGGGUAACGGCUCACCUAGGCGACGAUCCCUAGCUGGUCUGAGAGGAUGAACAGCCACACGGGAAGUGAGACACGGUCCAUAUUCCGACGGGAGGCAGCAGUGGGAAAUAUUGGACAAUGGGCGAAAGCCUGAUGCAGCCAUGCCGCGUGUAUGAAGAAGGCCUUCGGGUUGUAAAGUACUUUCAGCGGGGAGGCGUUACCCGCAGAAGAAGCACCGGCUAACUCCGUGCCAGCAGCCGCGGUAAUUC
rnacentral:rRNA from 1 species